rnacentral:lncRNA from 1 species
AAUUUGGACUGUGAAUGAUAUCCAAAGCGCAAGAAUCGUAGAACAAAUUGGUACAAAAACAUGACUGGAUUAAAGAAAUUGACACAAGCACGAACUUGUUUGAAUUAUGACCGUAUAUUGGGAAAAAAAUGUCGACAAACACGCAUUUUAAUUAAACAAGCCCUUCUAUUCACCCAUGGCUUUUGUUUUUGUUGACAAACAGCAAACACCCUCUGUUACUGUCCCUACCAUCAAUUUAGUCAUUAAGCCACAACUAAUUUUUUGGUUAAGUUCAUGUUUUACAUCAUAAUUUCUUUCAACACUGAGUUUACAUUUUAUUCUGUACUCGUAAUACUUGUGUUGCAUACAAUUGUACCAAAACAUUUAAUUGAUUUUAUGACGACUACAAACCAUUGCUUAUCAAGC